rnacentral:lncRNA from 1 species
UUACAGAGCCUCCAUUCGACAGAUGAUUCGGUGAUAAGCAGCUAUUCAUUAGUUUGGUUCACCAAAUCCUCCAUUCAACAGAAUUUCAUUCAUCUCCCAUUCACCUCCUCCCGUAAUAGUCAUUCCCCACCUAAUCUAAAGAAUAGCAUUACAUAGCCUCCACCGAAUAAGAAAAAAACAUAACCUCCCAUUCUUGCCCUUUACCACUCUCCCUCAGCAAACACCUCAAGC